CCUACGGGUGGCUGCAGUGAGGAAUAUUGGUCAAUGGACGAAAGUCUGAACCAGCCAAGUAGCGUGAAGGAUGACUGCCCUAUGGGUUGUAAACUUCUUUUAUAAAGGAAUAAAACGAGGCACGUGUGCCUUUUUGCAUGUACUUUAUGAAUAAGGAUCGGCUAACUCCGUGCCAGCAGCCGCGGUAAUACGGAGGAGCCGAGCGUUAUCCGGGUUUAUUGGGUGUAAAGGGAGCGUAGAUGGGUUAGUAAGUCAGUUGUGAAAGUUUGCGGCUCAACCGUAAAAUUGCAAUUGAGACUGGCAGGCUUGAGUACAGUUGAGGUAGGCGGAAUUCGUGGUGUAGCGGUGAAAUGCUUAGAUAUCACGAAGAACCCCGAUUGCGAAGGCAGCUUACUAAACUGUGACUGACAUUGAUGCUCGAAAGCGUGGGGAUCAAACAGGAUUAGAUACCCGUGUAGUC
rnacentral:rRNA from 1 species